UACAGAGGGGGCAAGCGUUGUUCGGAAUUACUGGGCGUAAAGGGCGCGUAGGCGGCCUUCUAAGUCGAACGUGAAAUCCCCGGGCUCAACCCGGGAACUGCGUCCGAUACUGGAAGGCUUGAAUCCGGGAGAGGGAUGCGGAAUUCCUGGUGUAGCGGUGAAAUGCGCAGAUAUCAGGAGGAACACCGGUGGCGAAGGCGGUUCUCUGGGCAUUACCUGACGCUGAGGAGCGAAAGUGUGGGGAGCGAACAGG
rnacentral:rRNA from 1 species